CGCGAAGGGUGGGCGGGCGAUCCCAGGGCUCGCGCCUCUGGCCCCGCAGCCCAAGCCCAGGCGACCCGUACCCCCUCGCGAGGUUCCCAGUCACCCACAACAGUUGGGGAAUUCAAAUUCGAAGAGCCCGCCCUCCGGCCAGCCCCGCAUUGGCGCGCUCAAGAAGUGCGUCACCGUGCGACUCGAGAAAACUCGGGGUGGCCCCGAAGCGCGAGGGCAAUAUUCUUUCUACAAAAGGAGGGUAACCCCGAGUUGCCAAGAGAACCUACAAGGCCACUCCGGUCUUUUGAAGAACUCGUUUCCUUUUCGGACGGCCGGCGCCCCAGCACGUUCCGCGGCUUCUCCCGUUAGGCUCUGCGGCCGGAAGGCUUACGUCCGACGUCGCUUGCGUUCUCGUGCGCUACUGCGGGUUGUUAAGUUUGGCCCUUCCGAGCCACCGUCCUCCCGUACGGGUUUGGUAGCGGGCGGCGUCCAGCUCUCGGGUUGCUCAGUGUCUGAAGAAUCAGCUUUCCGGGCGCUCGUUUGACAGAGCUUUUAGUUUUCCCUGGCCGCGGUGAUUUGAGAAUGAGAAAGAACGUUUUGCUCUUGAGACGAAAACAGACUCAAUGCAAAGUUAGCGAUGCUUGCAAUGGGAUGUGUAAUUUGAGCUAUUUUGCCAAGGAGUGUGACGUUUUUUGAACCUGAUUGUUAUCGAAUCCCAAAAGCUUUUAAUAUUGAGGACUCUGGGUUGCAAAGCCACAGUGAGGUCUGCGGCAGCGCAGUGAGACUGAGCCCUGCCUUAGGUCGCGCGCAGUGGUGCUCUGACCAGCGCGGGUUUGGGGGGCGCCCUUCAACUCAAGGCCCAGGCAAGACGCAUUCGCUGGCUGGAAGCAUUGUUUCAGUUUUGUGGGCGGAGAAGGAGGAGCAGAGGAGUAACACGUUUUCAACCCCAAACCCCUUCCAGAUCCUAUCCUGCGUCUUCUGCCCACGAACCCCAGCCCCCUCCCAACAAGUCACCCUGGGGCAGGAGAGUUUCUUUUGCCCUCAUCCAAGGAAAUUCCUCAGCAUCCUAAAAACAUGUUAAUCGCAUUUCUCCGUUGACACUGGACUGAUUGUAACGGAUUGUUUAAAGUGACUUUUGCAAUCCCCUCGUCUAAAUCCUGUUUUCACUAAAUCUUGCGCACCCCGAAUAUUAAGAGUCCGAAAUAUAAACUUGAAACAUGCAAAUGAAUGCAAGUAAGGAGGAGAAAACAGUUGAGAUGAGGAGAGGGAAGGAAAGCAAAUCUACAUAGAUAAAAUGAAGUUUCUGUCUGUGCAGCGUAAUGAGGAAAUGACUGGACAUGAACCAGAUUUGUGGGAAAAGCUAGACGUUGAGGUACCUAUUUAGUGAAAGCAUAUGAAAGCAUGUGAAAUGCGCUUUGUGUGCCAGAGACUUCGAGGAUUUGGGAAUUCAUAUUCCAAAGCAUCUGAAGUAGAAGUAGGAGAGGUUUCUAUGCCUGACCUGGAGAUGGCCGUGGCUCACACAUUCAGCCAGAAUAAGAAUCUUAAAAUAUUAAGGAUAGACACUCAGAAAUAUAGACAUUUCUUUUUUUAAAUAACCUCUUUUCAUCUGAGAAACUGCUAGUAUAGAGCAUGCUCCAGGGUGAACAGCAGCAGGGAUCCACCUACGGAUGACUAAUGAUUUUCCGAACAAAAUGGGAGAAAACAGUUUGUGGAUGAAAGUGUGAUGAGAAGGCAUACAGGCAAAGGGACAGUGUUCAUCCGUCCAUUGGGACAUCAACAUACUGCCCUGAAUGGGCCUUCCUUUAAGUUUCAGUCAGCCAGCUGGGAUAAUCUGUCCAGGCUUAAGUCUGUAACUCCUGGGAACACAUGCAGACCCACUUAGGGCCCAAAGGACAGACAUAGGAAGAAGGGAAUGGAAGCUUUACAUUGUGUGGGAGCUGCUGCCAAGGCAUCUGGGUCUGCUUAACCUGGAGGAAUAUUCCCAGGACAAUGUUUGAUUAUCAUGUGUCUUGAUGUGACAUCUUUGUGUUUAUCCUUGGCAGCAUGGCUGGGAAUACAGAUACUGAAAUAUAUUGGCCUCAAGAAACUCACAUUCUAGUGGAGAGAAAGACAAGUAAAAAGAUGUUUAUGAAUCUGUGUACAAACACUACAGAGACAUGAAUAUUCAUCAAAAGUUCAAAGAAGUGGCAAAGUGAAAAAAAUGGGAAGUAAGAAACAAAGAGAGACAAAAAGGGCUAUAGAAAGGUGAUGCUGAGGGUCCUUGGGUGAAAGAAAUUGUGCCCCCAAACACUUGAGGAGUUGUGAAAUGGAAAUGGUGGAGAGCCAUAACAACGGAAGGGGUUAUGAGAUCAGAGAUAAUGGAUGUUUCAAUGGCAAUCCACUUGUGUGGAUCAGACCCCUCCAUAUUAACCAUCAGAGCCACAGUCCCCAGUGCCUUGACACUACAUAUAACUUGGAGAAGGGCAUUAUCUUGGGCCGAAGGUGCAGUGGUGAAAAAAAGCAGAGUGGAUCUACCUUCAUGGAGGUUCUAGUGAUAAAGCCAUACGGUAUAAAAGUAAAGAAAUAAGUAAACAAAAUACUUUCAUAUUACAAAGGUUCAUGAGGAAAUAAACAAGGUGCUGAGGUUGUAUGUACCAGGGAAUGCUCCUUGAAAAAAAAAAUUUGUCAGAGAACUCUCUGAAGAGCUAACUUUGACCCGAGAUCUGAAGGAUGAGUAUGACCCAGCCAGGCAAAUAGCUGGGGAAAGAACUUUUCAAGUGGAGGGAAUCUGGUAAUGGAAUGAUAUUUCAACCCAUUUGGAUUGGCUAUAACUUAGUUCAUGAAAUGUCUAAAUCAGUUAUUUAAACCAUCCUACAUGUAUUCAACUGUAAAGAUACUUUACUCUCAGAGAUUUAAGUGAUGCAACCUUUGCAGGAGAGUCUUAUGAAUUAUUGAAAUGGUGAAACAAGAAGCAAGCAGUUACCUAAUUUGCCCUUGAUGAUGAAUGGCAGGGCUUUAGAGAUUAAUCUCUUUCUUUGAGAUUUAUUUUCUGUUAAAUGAAGAUGUAGACACUAUCAUUUGAGUUAUA